rnacentral:rRNA from 1 species
AUGGAGAACCAAGAGAUCCGUUGUGAAAGUUUUGUUUUUUUUGGAGAUUUCUCCUGUCGACUAUAUGCUAUAUUCCACAUUUUAGGUGUUUGUUUUCGUUCCGCUCACGCAGUGUAGUACUAAAUCACAGUAAUGAUCCUCUUCCUUAGGGUGAACCUGCGGAAGGAUCAUUACUGUGAUUUAGUACUACACUGCGUGAGCGGAACGAAAACAACAACACCUAAAAUGUGGAAUAUAGCAUAUAGUCGACAAGAGAAAUCUACGAAAAACAAACAAAACUUUCAACAACGGAUCUCUUGGUUCUCGCAUCGAUGAAGAGCGCAGCGAAAUGCGAUACCUAGUGUGAAUUGCAGCCAUCGUGAAUCAUCGAGUUCUUGAACGCACAUUGCGCCCCUCGGCAUUCCGGGGGGCAUGCCUGUUUGAGCGUCGUUUCCAUCUUGCGCGUGCGCAGAGUUGGGGGAGCGGAGCGGACGACGUGUAAAGAGCGUCGGAGCUGCGACUCGCCUGAAAGGGAGCGAAGCUGGCCGAGCGAACUAGACUUUUUUUCAGGGACGCUUGGCGGCCGAGAGCGAGUGUUGCGAGACAACAAAAAGCUCGACCUCAAAUCAGGUAGGAAUACCCGCUGAACUUAAGCAUAUCAAUAAGCGGGAGGAAAAGGAUCAUUACUGUGAUUUAGUACUACACUGCGUGAGGCGAACGAAAACACAACACCUAAAAUGUGGGAAUAUAGCAUAUAGGUCGACAGGAGAAAAUCUCGAAAAACAAACAAAACUUUCAACAACGGGAUCUCUUGGGUUCUCGCAUCGAUGAAGGAGCGCAGCGAAAAUGCGAAUACCUAGUUGUUGAAAUUGCAGCCAUCGUGAAAUCA